AAAAAAACUUUGAAAAUACCUGACAUAAUACAGCACAAAAACAAGUAAAAGUACAGUUGUAGACAAUCUGACAACUGCUAUUCCUCUCUAUUUUCUGUCGGCUAAUAGUUUUUACUAUAGGUUUAAGUCUGAAUAGAUUUCAUCAAAUGCCAAACAUGUACAUUAAUUAUAAGUUUGGACAUUUGUGCUGGGAUAUAUGAUCAUUGGAAUUCUAGCUUAUACCAAAAACUUUGUUGAAUAGUUGAAUCUCUAUGGAAUAUGUUGACAUUAAAUGAAUUGAAGAUCAAGUGUAAUUGUCAAUUCAAUGCUGAAAUCUUUGGCAGCAUGGAUGUCGCUGCUGAAUUUAUUU
rnacentral:misc_RNA from 1 species